rnacentral:rRNA from 1 species
UGGGGAAUUGUUCGCAAUGGGCGCAAGCCUGACGACGCAACGCCGCGUGGAGGAUGACGGCUUUCGGGUCGUAAACUCCUGUCGUGCGGGACGAACGGCUUGGUGGUGAAUAACCACUGGGACUGACGGUACCGCGAAAGGAAGCCCCGGCUAACUCCGUGCCAGCAGCCGCGGUAAUACGGGGGGGGCAAGCGUUGUUCGGAAUUACUGGGCGUAAAGGGCUCGUAGGCGGCUCGCUAAGUCAGACGUGAAAGCCCUCGGCUUAACCGGGGAACGGCGUCUGAGACUGGCAAGCUUGAAUCCGGGAGAGGGAUGCGGAAUUCCAGGUGUAGCGGUGAAAUGCGUAGAUAUCUGGAGGAACACCGGUGGCGAAGGCGGCAUCCUGGACCGGCAUUGACGCUGAGGAGCGAAAGCCAGGGGAGCAAACGG